ACCUGCUUCCUGGCUCUGUCAGGCCUGCCUGGGGUGGCCUUAUCUGACCAAGGUCUGUUUCCUAUGGAAAGGACUGGCUCUGAUGAAGCAAGCACCCCAGUAUUUUUGGCUAAUGGAAUCUCUGAAGUGGUGUCUUUAGUAUUCAGUUAUGUAUAUGGUCAUCUGCUCACUUACUUACAGUUUGACUAUGUGUGAAGAUACCAGUCAUAUAACAUUGGGAGCUCCAUCUCCAUGUCAGGCACUUCAUCAGGGAUACAAGGCUAUAAUACUUGUCCUUGUGGAGAGGAUGGGUGUGCGAAGACAGGUUCAUGUGACGAACGCUGCCGAGCAGUCUGGGGCCUUGUGGGAGCCAGCAGUGAGCAAGGCAGGAAAGGGAUCCCUAAAGAACUGAUGUUUAACUGGGCACAUGGUACAUGCCUAUAAUUCCAGUGGCAAGGGAGGCCAAGACCAGAGGAUCAGGAGUUCAAAGACAUCCUCAGCAAUGAUUAGGUGCUAAGAAACUCAGUGAGACCUUGUCUCUAAAUAAAAUACAAAAUAGAGCUGGGGAUGUGGCUCUGUGGUUGAGUGCCACUGAGUUCAAUCCCUGGUACAAAAAAAAAAGUGAUGUUUGUAUGGAAAUCAAUAAACCUAAUUCAUCAUAUCAACAAACUUAAAAACAAGUAUCAUAUGGUCAUCUUAAUAGAUGCAGAAAAAGCAUUUGACAAAACACAGCACCCCUUCUUGCUCAAUACACUAGAAAAACCAGGAAUAGUAGGAACAUACUUCAACAGUAUAAAAACUAUAUAUGCUAAACCCAAGGCCAACAUCAUAAAUGGAGAAAAUUUGAAAGCAUUCCCUCUAAGAACUGGAACAAGACAGUAAUGCCCUCUUCCACCACUUUUAUUCAACAUCAUCCUUGAUGAACACAGAUGCAAAAUCCUUAAUAAAAUAUUAGCUAUCUCCAUUUGAAAACCCCGAGGAGAAUAAAUCAUCACCAAGGUGGUUUCAUCCCAGGGAUGCAAGGUUGGCUCAACAUAUGCAAAUCAAUAAAUGUAAUUAAUCAUUUAAAUUAAAUGAAGGACAAAAAUCACAAGAUCAUCUCAAUAUAUGCAGAAAAUGUUAUGACAAAAUCUAGCACCCAUCCGUGCAAAAACACUAAAAAAAAAGUAGGGAUAAAAGGAACAUACCUAGGGCCUGGAGUUGUGGCUCAGAGGUAGAGUGCUUGCCUAGCUUGUGUGAGGCACUGGGUUUGAUCCUCAGCACCACAUAAAAAUAAAGGUAUUAUGCCCACCUACAACUGAAACAUAAAUAAAUAAAAAAUAAAUGUACCUCAACACCAUAAAAGUUACAUAUGUCAAAGUCUAUACUUCGAGGACCCAAAAUACUCCACCAAAAAACUUCUAGAACUAAGAAGUUCAGCAAUGUAGCAGGAUACAAAGUCAGCAUACAAAAAUCAAUAGCUUUCUUAUAUUCCAAAAAGAAUCCACUGGGAAAAAAAUCAGGAAAAUUAGUCCAUUUCCAAUAGCCUCAAAAAAUUACUUGAGAAUAAAUAUAAUCAAGGAAGGGAAAGACCUCUACAAAGAAAACUACAAAAACACUCAAUAAAGAAGUUGAAGAAGACAGAAAGACCUGCUGUGUUCUUAGAUAGGCAGAAUUAAUCUUGUCAGAAGGGCCGUAUUACCAAAAAGUAAUACAUAGAUUCAAUGCAAUCCCCAUCAAAAUUCCAAUGGCAUUCUUCACAGAACUAGAGAAUUGGUCCUAAAAUUCAUACAGAAUAAUAAAAGAACCAGACUACCCAAAGUAAUACUGAGCAAUAGAAAAACAAGCAUGGCAUGGGCAACUGUGAAACAGAAAGUCCAGUGGCCCAUUUUCAGAAUACAGUAUUUAGCUUUAAAUGUAAAAUGAUUUAGGAUAUAAGAAAGGCAUCUGGAAAGGAGAGGAGAAAUUUUUAAAGUUAUAAGCAGUUAACACUGGAUAGUAAAAAUUCAUAGCCCCUUGACAAAUAAGAGGUGAGAAGGAAGAGACCGACCUCACCAAUAGAGAUGAACUGUGUAUGUGCCUAAUGGCACUGGAUCCACAAGGGGACUUUCCUGCCACAUGAGAACAAAGGGAGGUGGGGACAACUAAAGACAUAUUUCUUUUUUUAAAUUUAUUUUUUAUUUUUUUAGGUGUAGAUGGACACAGCACAAUUUUUUAUGUGGUGCUGAGAAUCGAAUCCAGGUCCCGCCCGUGCUGGGCGAGUGCUCUACCACUGAGUCACAAUCCCAGCCCAAUAUAUUUCUUUAAAUAACCCAAUAGAAGACAAUAAACCUAGGUGACACUGGGGAAGAUGAUGCACCCUAUAGAGCUCAGCAAACGAGGAAUUGGAAGGGAUCUGGCGCUUUACGGAACACUGGCUGUACCCAAACUGGGUGACAAGACGCCUGAUCUUGCAAGACUGUCAUUAAAGUAAAGCCUUGCUUUUUGCUCUUUCUUGUUAUCUCUUAGUCCAUUCGCUGGGCCUGGACAGGUGAGCACGUCUCUCACAGUAUCAAAGCAGACUUGAAGAGCAAGCACUAGGGAAAGCCCCACAGAUAGUCAUCUGAUACUUGACAAAUGUGCCAAAAGAACAUGUUGAAGAAAAGGCUGCCUUUUUAACAAAUGGUGCUGGGAAAAGCAGAAACUGGAUAUCCAUAUGUAGAAGAAUCAAACCACAUCUCGUAUCUUUCACCUUGCACAAAAGUUGCCUCAAUGUAGACCAAAGGCCAACAAAUUAGACCAGAAACUUUGCAAAUGCUAGAAGAAAACAUAUGGCCAACACUCCAAUACACUCACGUAGGCAAUGACUUUCUCAACAAGACCCCUGACUGAAUAAAGCUCCAGAAACAAAACCAAGAGUCAAUACAUGGGACAGCACCAAGUUAAGAAGCUUCUGUAUGGCAAAGAAAACGAGAGCACGAAGAGGAAGCCAACAGUGAGGAAAAUAUGCCGGCUACUCUGACAACAGGGGAUUAAUGUCCAAAAUUUAUAAAAACUCAAAAAACUUACCACAAUAAAAGAAAGAAAAGAAAACCAAGCUUAAAAAUAAAAACUAGAAAAAAAUCCAAUCAGUAAAAGGGCAAAAAAUCUAAAUAGAUGUUUCUCAAAAGAAGAAACCAAAUGGCCAACAAAUAUGUAGAAAAAAUGUUCAACAUCCUUCACAAUCAGAAAAAUGCAAAUCAAAACUACACUGAGAACUCAUUUUAUUCCAGUUAGAAUGGCAAUCAUCGGGAAUACAAAUAAUUGCUGGCAAGGAUUCAGAGGAAAUGUACAAUUAUACAUUGUUGGUAGAGCGGCAAAUUAGUACAAUCACUUUGGAAAGCUGUAUGAAGAUUCCUCAAGAGUACAGGAAUGGAACCACCAUGUGACAGCUAUCCCACUUCUUGGUACUUAUCACAAAGAACAAAAGUCAACUAACUACAGUGAUACACACAUAUAAGUAUUUAUAGCAACAGAUUUCACAGUAGCCAGGUUACAGAACCAGCCUAGUUACUUCUCAAUAGAUGAAUGAACAAAUAAAACGUGGUGUAUAUAUAUACACAAUGGAGUUUUACUCAGUCAUAAAGAAGAACGGAAUGAUGUCAUUUGUUGGUAAAUGAAUGAGACUGCUAAGGAAAUGCUAGGUGAAAUAAGCCAAUCUCAGAAAGUCAAAGGUCAACUAUUAGAACAUGUCGAAGUGAGAGCAAGAGAGGGAGGGAGGGAGGGAAGGAGAAGGGGCGGGGAGACAGAAUGUGCAUGAAUGAUUGUACCAUAAUGGAACACAUUUUUAUAUAUGAUUAUAAUGUUCCUUUAAAAUACUAACAAUAACAACAGAGGGAAGAUGAUUAGAGCAGAGCAAUCAGAUCAUGAGGAAGACAGGCAGGAGGGAAGGGAAUGUACUGGGGAACAUGACUGAUCAAUGUACAUGUACAAAUAUAGCAUAAUGAAUUCCACUAGUAUGCAUAAUCAUAAGAUAUCAGCUUAAAAAGCAUGACACAUGUAAGUAUGGAAAUGACAAACUGAAACUCUUUAAUUUGGACAAUUAUGUGUUAAUAAUUAUAAUAAUAAUUUAAAAUUUAAAAUAUUCUUUCAUAUAUCUUUUCCAGAGCAUCAAAACAACCUUGAAUGCUGUGAAGAAAUAAAUGUUUGAUUUCAAUUUGGACCACAUGCAAAAAAUUUCCAAAUACAGAUAUAGUUUAUAAUUUUUUUGCUUUGAAAUAUGUUAAAUUAAUUGCCACUUUACAUUUAUCAUUUAAUCACCUUUUAAAACUUUCAACAUUUUAUGUUUAUACAACUUUUCAAAUAGGUAAGCAUUUCUUUUCUUUUUUUUUUUUUUAAAGAGAGAGAAUUUUUAAUGUUUAUUUUUUAGUUAUCGGUAGACAACAUCUUUGUAUGUGGUGCUGAGGAUCGAACCCGGGCCGCACGCAUGCCAGGCGAGCGCGCUACCGCUUGAGCCACAUCCCCAGCCCAAGUAAGCAAUUCUUAGACAUGGAAAUACAUCUUCUUUUUCUCUUCUAUAAUGUUUAAUAUACUGACAUGUAUUUGGUGAAUAAUCAAGAUUUUAAAUCUUGAUUUUUUUUUCUUUACACAAGUCCAUUUUUUCUAAAAACAAAAUUAAAUUAUUGUCUUAAAAUAAUUACUACAAGUUUCUAGGAAAUUGUUAUUUAAAAGAGAAAAAAUGCUUUUAAGGAAAUAAUCCUGCCAAAUCAAAUCUUAUGGAUAUUUCAACCAUUAUGAAAAAUGUUGCUUUCAUUUUAUGAAAUUUUAAUUACUGACCAUUUUAUAAUGAGCAGUGACCCAGGACAUUUUUGUCUUCUCAAAAUAGAAAUACAGCCUAUUUUCAUCUAAGUGACUGCAGUACUAAAACUGCCAUGCUAAACAAGGUAUUUCUUUGACUAUUUUGUUUACAUAAUUUAGUUUAUGGCUUUUAACAACAUUUGGCUCACUAAAUAUCUACUUUAAAAAUAAAUUCUGCACAAUAUGUUGGAGUGUUGAAACUUUUUUGUAGUACUUGCAAAGUUUCUGGUCUAAUUUC
rnacentral:lncRNA from 1 species